GGGGAUAGCUCAGGGGUAGAGCGUGUGCUUAGCAUGCACAAGAUCCUGGGUUCAAUCCCCAGUGCCUCCA
rnacentral:tRNA from 1 species